GUAAGAGAAGGCAUAAGACAAAUCGAAGAGUAGAGCAUUUUUAUGUAAUUAAUAUAAAAUAGUUCAAUUAUCAGAAACAACAAUUUUAAGGCACAUAUAUAGAGUCAGGAGACAUAGAUAUCAUCUGAAGGAGGCUUGAAUUUGAGAAUGUUUCUUCAAGUGCAGGUCCCCUCUUACUACCAUUUCCAUCAAUGCUCUCUUUUGUAAUGUGCACAAGCUCCCUAGCAACUUCUACCAUCCCAAUUUUGCCAUCUCCACCGAACAGCAGACAUCUGGUAGCUAUGUCUGCAACUAUCUCUAUUUGCUCUCUGCGAAAUGGAGGUUGCUCAUGAUAAUAGAGACCUGGAUCCACAAUUUCUGCCAGCUUUCCACUCCUGAUUUUCUGCAAUGCUGCAGCUGGGAGGUCUUUGUUCUUGGAACCUGUAAUUAACUCUAGCAGCACCACACCAAAGUCAGAAACAUCACUUCUAUUAUUUGAAUAAGAUUCAUUUGUAAGGCUUGAUGAUUCAAGUAGGCUGAACCCUGCAAUUCUAACCGACUGAUCUUCAUCUAAAAAUAUGCAGCCGGAUUUGAUAUUAUGAUGAAAGAUAGGAGGAAAUAUUUCAUACUGCAGGAAGGCUAAGACACAUGCAAUUUCAGCGGCAAUGUUCAUUCUCUUGUACCAAUCAAGGCCCAUUUUUUCUAGUCCUCUACUUUGGUGCAAAUGUUCCUCAAGGGUACCAUUUGCAGGAUACUCAUGGACCACCAGUGGAGUGUAGCCAGAGUCGAUACAACAUCCAAGGAGACGUGCCAUAUUCCUGUGUGAAACUGCAGAUAAAACCUCAAUCCUGGAUAGGACCUGCAUUAGAUCUCUUUGAUCUUGGCACUGUACCUUGUGCACAGCUACAUGUGAACCAUCUCCAAGGACCCCUGCAUAUAUGGUUCCAUUCCUACCAUGCACAAGUUUCUGACAAUCUUCAAAUCCUUUAGUGGCUUCCUCCAGCUCUUGGUAAGUGAAUAAUCGAGUCCUACAAGCUUUCCUGAAUGAGAUGGUGCUAUGAAAAUGUGACUGGUCAGGGUCAUAUGCACCGGACUUACCAGGCCGUUUCAACAGACAAAACAGCGCAAUUAAGGAGGCAAUAAUGAAUACGGGGCCAACAACUCCAGCUAGAAUGGAAACUGUUUUUCCGCUAUGUCUUUUUGUGUAGCACUGAGUGCCAUUUGCUUCCACUCCAUUCUUGAUGCAGGAUUUUAAACAACCCACGCCACUGGCAAAUCCAUCACCAACAAACCCGUCCUGACAUUUGCACCUAAACCCUCCUUUAACUGUGGUGGCAUUGACAGUGUUUGAAUUGAUGGCACAAGCUUUCUUGGAAGAAUUCCCACCUGGAAUCGCCCAUUCCAAUUUAACCCCACGUUUUCCAGUGUUAGAACCACGAGAAAUAGCCCAAGAAGAGUAUCCCCUGCAUCCAAACUUGGAAAACACUGAAAAACCAUCUCCUAAAUCCCAUGCACUAUGGUCAGAAAGUGGAUAACAGCAGGCAGGAGAGGCAUUGGAUUUGCCAUCACAGCCAGGCAAGUCAAUCGUUUCACAAUCUGCCUUGCACAAAGAAGAAUCUUCACAAUCAUACAAGCCAAUAACGUUGUCCACCGAUAUCCCAAAAUGGCCAUUUCCACUGAAACCAAAAGAAUUCAAAUCAUUAUAUUGGCGACAAAUAGAGCUACCCGGAAAGUCCACCAAAAUACCAUCAGAGACAAAUUCAAC
rnacentral:misc_RNA from 1 species